rnacentral:rRNA from 1 species
CCUACGGGAGGCAGCAGUAGGGAAUCUUCCGCAAUGGACGAAAGUCUGACGGAGCAACGCCGCGUGAGUGAUGAAGGUUUUCGGAUCGUAAAACUCUGUUGUUAGGGAAGAACAAGUACCGUUCGAAUAGGGCGGUACCUUGACGGUACCUAACCAGAAAGCCACGGCUAACUACGUGCCAGCAGCCGCGGUAAUACGUAGGUGGCAAGCGUUGUCCGGAAUUAUUGGGCGUAAAGCGCGCGCAGGCGGUUUCUUAAGUCUGAUGUGAAAGCCCCCGGCUCAACCGGGGAGGGUCAUUGGAAACUGGGGAACUUGAGUGCAGAAGAGGAGAGUGGAAUUCCACGUGUAGCGGUGAAAUGCGUAGAGAUGUGGAGGAACACCAGUGGCGAAGGCGACUCUCUGGUCUGUAACUGACGCUGAGGCGCGAAAGCGUGGGGAGCGAACAGGAUUAGAUACCCUGGUAGUCCACGCCGUAAACGAUGAGUGCUAAGUGUUAGAGGGUUUCCGCCCUUUAGUGCUGCAGCAAACGCAUAAGCACUCCGCCUGGGAGAUCCCCCA